UGAGUAACCUGCCCUUAACUCUGGGAUAAGCCUGGGAAACUGGGUCUAAUACCGGAUAUGACUCCUCAUCGCAUGGUGGGGGGUGGAAAGCUUUAUUGUGGUUUUGGAUGGACUCGCGGCCUAUCAGCUUGUUGGUGAGGUAAUGGCUCACCAAGGCGACGACGGGUAGCUGGUCUGAGAGGACGACCAGCCACACUGGAACUGAGAUACGGUCCAGACUCCUACGGGAGCAG
rnacentral:rRNA from 1 species